rnacentral:lncRNA from 1 species
UUCUUUCUUUCGAUAGAAUUCUGCUAAAUUGCCUAGGCUGGACUUGAACUUCUGAUCUUCCUGCUUCAGCCUCCCAGAGAGGUAGGAUUACAGCAUCCAGAUCGCUGGUGGCUCCUGGUCCCCAAGACUGCCUGAGCCGCGGAGUAACCUCAGGGCGGAGGGCACUCCUGUCUCCAUAGUCUGUGGCGCCAGCCGCCUCUUUCUCAAGGAAGAGUCCACAGACAAGGUCUCACAAUGUAGCCCAGAUCCUCCUGGCUCAGUCUCCUCAGUGCUGGGAUUACAGGCGCAUCACAUGUCCAGUGGCAACGUCUUUUACUGUAAUAAUUUUUUUAAAAACACUGUGGGAGGGAAGGGGAAGGAAAGAAUCAAGAUGUGCCAUGUCGGCCCGGGAUUUAGCUCAGUGGCACCUUGCCUGCUUGGCAAGCGCAAGGUUUGAGUUCAAUCCCCGGUACCAAAAACCCAAGCCAAAACAAGAUGUGCUAUGUCCACGUACCACCUUCCCACGAGGAGUGUAAUCACUAGGUACUGCAAACAAACCGUCACUGUAUUUUUUGAUCACCGGGUACGUUCUCUCCCCACGGCCCCAGCGCGCCUCUCCGCUCCACCUGCAGAGCAAAGCCCCGGCACUUGGUGGCGCCAUCCUCCAAGUGAAAACCAACAGGGGACUGGAAUGACAAAGUCCUGGACUUCGGGGCCAGUUGUGUCAGUUUAUACUGAUAGGAUGCAGGACACAACGGCCCACAGCCAGCCCGGACUCAGCUUCCCCCCUCUCUGUUCAGGACCAGAACCAACAGGCGUUUUCGCAAAGUGCUGCGCAACAGCGGGGUCCUCCGUUCUGCCUCUUGGAGCAACUCGCUUGCCGCCCAGUCACCGUCGAUCAGUCACUAUCGGGUAGAGCCAGAGUCCAUCAUUCGCGUUCAGUUCACCGAGAAGUCAGAACGCAACUGAAUCCGACCGCAAGAUCUGGGGAUCCUAGUGCCUGCUGUUUGUUUCGGCUACGAAACACCGCGCGAUUCCUAGGGCAACAACUCUGGACUAAAUCCAAGUCCUGCCAGGCCCAGCCCUUUCGUAGUCUCGCCCAACCACCGCCCCCAAGAUGAUAUCCAAUCGUAAGCCCCGCUCGCCCAAAACUCUGCC